AGUGAACGCUGGCGGUAGGCUUAACACAUGCAAGUCGAACGGCAGCACAGUAAGAGCUUGCUCUUACGGGUGGCGAGUGGCGGACGGGUGAGGAAUACAUCGGAAUCUACUUUUUCGUGGGGGAUAACGUAGGGAAACUUACGCUAAUACCGCAUACGACCUACGGGUGAAAGCAGGGGAUCUUCGGACCUUGCGCGAUUGAAUGAGCCGAUGUCGGAUUAGCUAGUUGGCGGGGUAAAGGCCCACCAAGGCGACGAUCCGUAGCUGGUCUGAGAGGAUGAUCAGCGACACUGGAGCUUGGACACGGUCCAUAGUCCUACGGGACGCAGCAGUGGGGAAUGUUGGACAGAAGGCGGGAGCAUGAUCCAGCCAUAGCGCGUGGGUGAAAGAGGCCUUCGGGUUGUGAAGCCCUUUUGUUGGGAGAGAAAAGCAUCAGGUUAAUACCCCGCUGUUCUGACGGUAACCAAAGAAUAAGCACCGGCUAACUUCGUG
rnacentral:rRNA from 1 species